UCAAGCGCUCUGGUGAGACGAGCUCCCGGCGUCACGUCCCCGGCGCUCUGGACAGAGCCGUAGAUGAAGUCGGUGAAACCUCGCACAUGUGCAGUAGAACUUAAACCUUAUUUUGGGUCAAGGUCCUCAAACUCGUUCAGGUUUUACGUCCCGGUGACCAGUGAAGGUGCAGUUCCGGCCCUUUCAGUUAUAGACACCAAGUAACUGGAGGCGUUACCAAGAUGGCUGCCGAGUGGCGGCAUUUGCCUAUAAAUACUUUGACUUUGCCUUAAACCAGUUCUUCUUUCCUGUUCUCCGUCUCCAGUUACAGUUUUAUAACCACUCAGCAUUUUGUUCACUGGUCUUGUUAGAGCUGAACCUCAUCACACCACGUCGCCGCUUCAGGAGGGAAACGUCACAACACCCUGAAUACGUCAACACCCGGACUGGAUUACAGCUGGUGUCUUCUAUGAAUGAGAGGAAGACGUCAGAUGCUUUGUUUAGUCUACAAGCAGCGAACCCUCACAUGAGAAGCUCGAGCUGGAGAAGAUAUCGCCGUUCUUUACCGUGAACACGUUUGAGUCGCACAGACCGAUCGAGCCGAACAAGAAAAGGACAAAGUGCGUGUUUGAGAACACACGCCUGCCGACAGACCUGCAGGUUUCUGAACACUAAAGCUCACUGAUGGAGCGACAGCAGAGAGGAAGAGGGGGACAGCUGGCUUUCCUAGAGAGAGAGAGAGAGAGAGAGAG